UUUUUCUCAGACUUCCGCCGUGCAACAUCUUCUCUGGGGUGUCAUGAAGUUAAUGAUUUAACAGUACAUUAAUAAUUAUACUUAAAGGAUUAAAAAGGAGUUAGGGUACCAGCACUUGCAAGUGAACCGCUCCGUAAAUUUUGUGGAUCCUGUGACCCUUGCGCGCACAAAUUCCAUAGAAAGAAGGUGGAGGGAUGUGAAGAGGUUGGUCCCAAAGUAUGGAUGACAGAGAGAGAACGUAUUUUAAGCUGUUCUACAUUGACUACAAAAUUUGCCUACAUUAUUUUCUAUUGGAAGCUGCAUUAUUAUACCCUCCAAGUCCAUAAUAUUCUGAUAUCUACUGGUGUGGAAGGUACCUUUUAUAAUGACAUUUGUCAUAUUUAACUUCGUUAAUUUUGAGAAACUGGGUGCUGCUUAUUUUGUAGUUUAGGAGUAAUGCUAGAGGUAAGUUUGUUCGUUGUAUUCCUCGACUUAUAAUUGGUACAGAUGAGUGAUCUUUGGUUAUUGGUGUCUUGGGAUAAAAAUGAAUAGGUUUUGUGGUUCGUUUUCUGUAGCUGUGCAGUCUUUUAAUGCUAAUGAUGUAUCGCAGAGUUAAAGAUCGUGCCUGUGUUUUGCAAAUCUUUUAUUCUCUGUUCAGAACAUCUUUCUCCAGUCAUUUAUGUUGGAAAUUUGUGGAAUUUUGAGUCUUUCUGGUGUUUCUGAACUAUGCAGUCUCUUGGUUCAGUCUAUUCAAGGGACGUGGUGAAGAAAUUCGUGCCUUCAGGGGUGUUUCUGUCUGGUGCAAAGUCUUUGGUUCAAUGUUUAGUCUGUUCAAGGGAUGUGGUCCAGUUUUACCUUGUGUUGUCUCAGUAGGAGAAGGUAUACAAUUCAUGAUUUUCCCUUUCUCCUCUAUAGCAUUCUUCAAUGAACAAUUAAUAUUUUUUGUAUAUCUUGCCCAUCAUUGUAUCUGACAAUCUUGAAGAUUUUUUCUCUCCAUUUCCCACGAUGACAAAAUACAUAAACUUUGUGGACUUCUUUACCUAUCAGCUACAUUAUCAUGACAGUUUUAUGCUAUGCUAUCAUUUUAGAUGCUGUGUGUUUCUCAAUUAAUCUCUUGAGUUGUAAGUGGAGGCGAUGAUAUGGGGUGCCUUUUGUUACUAAAGUAACUUUAUUUAUUUAAAACCAGAUCGUCCAAAAGAAUCUGAUCAGUUAAAAUGCUAUUGCAUAUUGCUGGCUAGUCUAGAAAUGUUUCCCCAUUAGCAGCGCCAGAUCUAAUUGCUUUUGUUCUCCGGCGAAAGUGCUAUGCUGAUUGACCUUGUGUCAAAAAGAGUUUUAGCAAUUCAUAUCCCCAGCCAAUUCGUUUUGUUACAUAAGCUAAUUGGAUCCUAGUAAAAGUAGUAGGAGUGAUAAUAUUGAUAUGUAUAGUAAAAGUGCUUGUGCUGAUAGGGAAACUACUCUCCUGACCGAUCUGGUGUUAAAAGGAGAUUUAACAAUACAUUUCCGUACCAAUUCGUGUUGCUACAGAAAUGAAUGAAACGCUAGGAAUAGGCGUACCAGUGAUAGUAUUGACAGUAAUAGUAAAAAUACUGAUGGGGAAUUCAGGUUACUAAUGACCCAUCUAUCAAAAUCUUUUAUUACUCACAUUUUUGCUGUAGGAAAUCAACAUUGGAAUGAAUAUUCCCAUUUGGAAUCCCCGCCCUACUGCAUUCAACUCCCAAAAGUUUUGGCCUCAUUAAAAUUCCAACUUCUGGUGA